UACGUAGGGUGCGAGCGUUAAUCGGAAUUACUGGGCGUAAAGCGUGCGUAGGCGGUUCGUUAAGUCAGCUGUGAAAGCCCCGGGCUCAACCUGGGAAUUGCGGUUGAAACUGGCGAACUAGAAUCUGGCAGAGGGGGGUGGAAUUCCACGUGUAGCAGUGAAAUGCGUAGAGAUGUGGAGGAAUACCGAUGGCGAAGGCAGCCCCCUGGGAUAACACUGACGCUCAUGCACGAAAGCGUGGGGAGCAAACAGG
rnacentral:rRNA from 1 species